GCCUCCGUGGCGGAACGGCAUACGCAGCGGACUUAAAAUCCGCCGUCCUUAUCGACUUAUGGGUUCGAAUCCCAUCGGAGGUACCA
rnacentral:tRNA from 1 species